rnacentral:rRNA from 1 species
UACGUAGGUCGCAAGCGUUGUCCGGAUUUACUGGGCGUAAAGAGCGCGCAGGCGGCUGGUCAAGUCCGAUGUGAAAUCUCCCGGCUCAACUGGGAAACUGCAUCGGAAACUGAUCGGCUUGAAGAUGGGAGAGGGUAGUGGAAUUCCCGGUGUAGUGGUGAAAUGCGUAGAUAUCGGGAGGAACACCAGUGGCGAAGGCGGGUCUCUGGGCCGAUACUGACGCUGAGGAGCGAAAGCGUGGGGAGCGAACAGG